rnacentral:rRNA from 1 species
GGUUAAGCGACUAAGCGUACACGGUGGAUGCCCUGGCAGUCAGAGGCGAUGAAGGGCGUGCUAAUCUGCGAUAAGCGCCGGUAAGGUGAUAUGAACCGUUAUAACCGGCGAUACCCGAAUGGGGAAACCCAGUGUGACUCGUCACACUAUCAUUAACUGAAUCCAUAGGUUAAUGAGGCGAACCGGGGGAACUGAAACAUCUAAGUACCCCGAGGAAAAGAAAUCAACCGAGAUUCCCCCAGUAGCGGCGAGCGAACGGGGAGGAGCCCAGAGCCUGAAUCAGCAUGUGUGUUAGUGGAAGCGUCUGGAAAGACGCGCGAUACAGGGUGACAGCCCCGUACACAAAAGCGUAUGUGCUGUGAGCUCGAUGAGUAGGGCGGGACACGUGGUAUCCUGUCUGAAUAUGGGGGGACCAUCCUCCAAGGCUAAAUACUCCUGACUGACCGAUAGUGAACCAGUACCGUGAGGGAAAGGCGAAAAGAACCCCGGCGAGGGGAGUGAAAAAGAACCUGAAACCGUGUACGUACAAGCAGUGGGAGCACAGGUUUACCUGUGUGACUGCGUACCUUUUGUAUAAUGGGUCAGCGACUUAUAUUCUGUAGCAAGGUUAACCGAAUAGGGGAGCCGGAGGGAAACCGAGUCUUAAUUGGGCGUUAAGUUGCAGGGUAUAGACCCGAAACCCGGUGAUCUAGCCAUGGGCAGGUUGAAGGUUGGGUAACACUAACUGGAGGACCGAACCGACUAAUGUUGAAAAAUUAGCGGAUGACCUGUGGCUGGGGGUGAAAGGCCAAUCAAACCGGGAGAUAGCUGGUUCUCCCCGAAAGCUAUUUAGGUAGCGCCUCGUGAAUUCAUCUCCGGGGGUAGAGCACUGUUUCGGCUAGGGGGUCAUCCCGACUUACCAACCCGAUGCAAACUGCGAAUACCGGAGAAUGUUAUCACGGGAGACACACGGCGGGUGCUAACGUCCGUC